GUGCCAGCCGCCGCGGUAAUACGUAGGCAGCGAGCGUUGUUCGGAAUUACUGGGCGUAAAGAGUGUGUAGGCGGUGCUCUAAGUCUGUCGUGAAAUCUCCCGGCUUAACUGGGAGGGUGCGGCGGAAACUGGUGUGCUCGAGGGUGGGAGAGGUAAGCGGAAUUCCUGGUGUAGCGGUGAAAUGCGUAGAUAUCAGGAGGAACACCUGCGGUGUAGACAGCUUACUGGACCACUUCUGACGCUGAGACACGAAAGCGUGGGUAGCAAACAGGAUUAGAAACCCGCGUAGUCC
rnacentral:rRNA from 1 species